GAUGAACGCUGGCGGCGUGCCUAAUACAUGCAAGUCGAGCGAACAGAUGAGGAGCUUGCUCCUCUGACGUUAGCGGCGGACGGGUGAGUAACACGUGGAUGACCUACCUAUAAGACUGGGAUAACUUCGGGAAACCGGAGCUAAUACCGGACAAUAUAUUGAACCGCAUGGUUCAAUAGUGAAAGACGGUUUUGCUGUCACUUAUAGAUGGAUCCGCGCCGCAUUAGCUAGUUGGUAAGGUAACGGCUUACCAAGGCAACGAUGCGUAGCCGACCUGAGAGGGUGAUCGGCCACACUGGAACUGAGACACGGUCCAGACUCCUACGGGAGGCAGCAAUAGGGAAUCUUCCGCAAUGGGCGAAAGCCUGACGGAGCAACGCCGCGUGAGUGAUGAAGGUCUUCGGAUCGUAAAACUCUGUUAUUAGGGAAGAACAAAUGUGUAAGUAACUAUGCACGUCUUGACGGUACCUAAUCAGAAAGCCACGGCUAACUACGUG
rnacentral:rRNA from 1 species